UACGUAGGUGGCAAGCGUUGUCCGGAAUUAUUGGGCGUAAAGCGCGCGCAGGUGGUUUAAUAAGUCUGAUGUAAAAGGCAGUGGCUCAACCAUUGUGUGCAUUGGAAACUGUUAGACUUGAGUGCAGUAGAGGAGAGUGGAAUUCCAUGUGUAGCGGUGAAAUGCGUAGAUAUAUGGAGGAACACCGGUGGCGAAAGCGGCUCUCUGGACUGUAACUGACACUGAGGCUCGAAAGCGUGGGUAGCAAACAGG
rnacentral:rRNA from 1 species